rnacentral:lncRNA from 1 species
AAUAAAGGAGUGAUUACUCUAAGUUCUUGAAAAGAGAGUCACACCAUGUGUAGAUGAAAUAACAUUUUGUUAAUGACAUCAAGAGGCCAGGAAGCCCAGACAGUCACCAGAAGAAUACUAUUCACGUCAAAUGACUUGAUUUUCUUUUGUGCAGCAAAAUUCGUCAGAUGUAUUUGCCAAACCCAAAUACUUAAACUCCUUCCAUCCACUGAAAGACAAAGGCAAGUAUACACUUUCUCAUACUGGAGAUUCUUCCAGCAACAUCACGUUAACUCAGUUUCUAUCAACCGAGUAAGGCCAGGAAUCAUAAAAUCAAAGAACACUGUUUGGAGCAACUUGACAUUUAGAGGUAAAUGUCAGAGAAGAAAGUAUACUUCAUAUCAGAUGAGAUAUUCUGACCCAGGAGCAGAACAAGGUGGUCACAGCAGCUUUAUCAUUGCCUCCUUUAUCUUGAAUUCAUGGAAGAUUUAUUUCAAUGUGGUUUGAGUGUAACACAUUGCACCCUAAAUGCAAAAGAAUUGGUUUUGAUGGAAAUCUUGUCAGUUGCUCCUUCUUCUCAUGACCACAAGAUGUGCUUUCCUUUUUCAUAAAAUGACCUUGUCCACACAGCCUUUCCAAUCAUGGACUGGAAUAAGGAAACUUCACAAGCUCACCUUCAGUGACUGAGUUGACUUUCUUUUCAAAAGGUUCUCAGUGCGUAUUUCCUAAAGAAAAGGCAUUUUCCUUCCAAAUUUUUCAGUUGGAUUUUAUGCUUCUUUUUUUUUUGCUUCAUGGGUUCAAUCCCUUCACUUUGAAAGUUAAGCUGAGGUAAAAUAAAAAUUUCCAUUUCGAUAGCUUUGUAGCCAUUUAUGAGGAAGGACAAUAAUGUGAUUUGAUGUGAAACGGAGCAUUUUACAGUUUACAGUGUAUUUUCACGUGGUCUCCAACCCAGAAACUGAAGUGACCAGGUGGAAUUUGGGCAGAGAUAAGGAAAGUGAAGUCAUUCACCAAAGCAAAGCCAGUACAGCAGAAUCAGGGUUACUUUAGGACUUGGGUCCUAGCACAUGCCUGCAGCUCCAUGACAGCCUCGAAUGCUGUAUACAACCCUAAGAAAUCUUUAUGAGAUUCGAUGCAUGGUUUAUUGUUGGUUCCCCUGAUUCUAUCUAUGUGAGAGGGGAGUGGAAGGGCAGUUUGGUUAUCAGCUUCCAGGGUUGUGCCUGCAACAUCUCGAUUGUCUCCGUCACACCUGAAGAUGCUUUUUGGAAGUUAUUUGCAUAUAUAGCCAGAGCUGCUUUAGGACGAGGGACAGAGCAGCAAGUGAGGGAAUGCUAAGAAGCUGCACUUCCCUCCCAUAACUCUGUCACUUUGAGCUCAACCCAGCAUCAGCCCUCACUUUAGUGCCUAGAAGAUCCAAGCUUCAGAGUCCACUGCCUGUUUUGAAAGCUACUGUGCUAAGAGUGUCCGUUAGUUUCUAACACUCAAAGCCUUCACGAUAGGCAGAUAAAGAUACUGCAGGGAACUUCUACUAAUGGGCAUGGGUUAAACAAGCACAUGUAGAGAAAAUUUGAGUUCAAAUUUCCACAAAG